rnacentral:misc_RNA from 1 species
AAGUCGUAACAAGGUUUCCGUAGGUGAACCUGCGGAAGGAUCAUUCAUAAUAAGUGUUUUAUGGCACUUUUUAAAUCCAUAUCCACCUUGUGUGCAAUGUCGGUCGAUCUUCUUCAUGGAGAUCGACCAAACAUCAACCUUUAUCUUUUAACUCUUUGUCUGAAAAAUAUUAUGAAUAAACAAUUCAAAAUACAACUUUCAACAACGGAUCUCUUGGCUCUC